GUGGGCACAAUGAGGAAAUAACAUUAUUCUUUUGCGAGAUCCAUAGAUCUGUGAGUAACACUUAAUUUUAGUCCUUUUCAUUCUGAGUGUCCC